rnacentral:rRNA from 1 species
UAAACGACUCUCGGCAACGGAUAUCUUGGCUCACGCAUCGAUGAAGAACGUAGCAAAAUGCGAUACUUGGUGUGAAUUGCAGAAUCCCGUGAACCAUCGAGUUUUUGAACGCAAGUUGCGCCCGAAGCCUUUUGGYCGAGGGCACGUCUGCCUGGGCGUCACAC